GGGUGGGACGACGUCAAGUCAGCAUGGCCCUUAUGUCCAGGGCGACACACGUGCUACAAUGGCCGGCACAGCGGGAAGCGGAGGGGCGACCCUGAGCGGAUCCCUUGAAAGCCGGUCCCAGUUCGGAUUGCAGUCUGCAACUCGACUGCAUGAAGUUGGAAUCGCUAGUAAUCGCGGAUCAGCCAAGCCGCGGUGAAUACGUUCCCGGGCCUU
rnacentral:rRNA from 1 species